CCUACGGGUGGCAGCAGUGAGGAAUAUUGGUCAAUGGUCGCGAGCCUGAACCAGCCAAGUCGCGUGAGGGAAGACGGUCCUAUGGAUUGUAAACCUCUUUUGUCGGGGAGCAAAAGACGCCACGCGUGGCGUUCCGAGAGUACCCGAAGAAAAAGCAUCGGCUAACUCCGUGCCAGCAGCCGCGGUAAUACGGAGGAUGCGAGCGUUAUCCGGAUUUAUUGGGUUUAAAGGGUGCGCAGGCGGAAGAUUAAGUCAGCGGUAAAAUAGCGGGGCUCAACCUCGUCGAGCCGUUGAAACUGGCUUGCUUGAGUGAGAGGGAAGUAUGCGGAAUGCGUGGUGUAGCGGUGAAAUGCAUAGAUAUCACGAAGAACUCCGAUUGCGAAGGCAGCAUACGGGCGCGAUACUGACGCUGAUGCACGAAGGUGUGGGUAUCGAACAGGAUUAGAUACCCCUGUAGUC
rnacentral:rRNA from 1 species